UCCCUGGUGGUCUAGUGGUUAAGACUCUGCACUCCCAGUGCAGGGGGCCUGAGUUUCAUCCCCAGUCAGGGAA
rnacentral:tRNA from 1 species